rnacentral:lncRNA from 1 species
UGCAUCUUCUUGCCUACUUUGUCCAUAAAAUCUGAAAACACACGAAAAUGACUUUAAACAUUAAAAUAACUUAGGAAACACGACAUAAAUGCACAAGAACAAGCCAACUAAGUCGCAUAAAUAUGCUCCUAUCAAUGAGCACCUACAUACUUGUCUUAGUGUCACAACACGAAUGGGAUGAGACUUUCCAUCCUUCCAUUUGAAGCGGACACAGUAUGUACCGGUCUAAGCAUUGUCAGUUUCCCUCUGACAAUCCAAUGACUAGGAACCUUUUGGACAUAAUGGUUAUGUGAAGAAGGUCUCUGUAGUCUAACAUCAUUAGAUUACUUCUUCAAUCAAUCCAUUAUCCAUGGAUACACUAUUGAGGACAUAUAUCGUUUAUUGAGAUAGUC